UACGGAGGGUGCGAGCGUUAAUCGGAAUUACUGGGCGUAAAGCGCGCGUAGGCGGCUUGUUAAGUCAGCUGUGAAAGCCCCGGGCUCAACCUGGGAACUGCAGUUGAUACUGGCCGACUAGAGUACGAGAGAGGGAGGUAGAAUUCCAUGUGUAGCGGUGAAAUGCGUAGAUAUAUGGAGGAAUACCAGUGGCGAAGGCGGCCUCCUGGCUCGAUACUGACGCUGAGGUGCGAAAGCGUGGGGAGCAAACAGG
rnacentral:rRNA from 1 species